UGUGAUGUUUGAAGGCAGCAGGGAAGUAACCACAAAUGAAAUAGGUGUUGAGGGUAGAGGAGAUGAAGGAUGGGGUAGGAGAUGAAAGAGAUGGCACUGAGGGGAGAAUCAAAAAUACUAUAGGAUCUGAGGAACGUGUGCUUAUUCUGCAGAAUGGGAGAAGGUGCUGGACUCUGGAGAUGGGUCUGGCCAGAAUAUGACCCCGACAUAAACACCGCC